rnacentral:sRNA from 1 species
GCUAUUCUAUUAAUUGCUUACAGUAGAUAACCAUACCUUUCAGUUUCUCUAGUUUUAUGUUUUGUAAUUUUAAGGGCAGUUUUUCCUGAUAUGUAUUAGGAGGGAAAAUAAUUAAAAGGUGCUACCUUAUAACUUUUAGAGAGUAAAAUUUUUGCUGACUCUCUUUUAUCCCAGUAGUAUAUUAGUAACUAUAUUUAUCUCCCCUAUUAGCUUUGAGAAGUUUGUUGAGUCUUUAUGCUUGAAGAGUGUAAUUUAGGAGGUAUGCUGCAUGAACUUGCAGUAAAAAGAAGUAAGGGAACUUCAGGAAUGCCAUAAGUUCUCUCUUACAUUCCUGAAAAUUAAAGUUUUGUAUACUGCUCCUAAUGGUAAAAUCCUCGACCUGGUCUGAUACAGGCUUAGUCUCCCAAAAGUGUAAAUGUGUUUGCCCGUGCACCACUGGAGAACAAAUCUUUCAGGAGUCUUCUCAAGUCUGUUGAAGAAGAAUUGCAUCAGCGAGGACACGUGGCACAUUUAGAAGAUGAUGAAGGAGAUGAUGAUGAAUCUAAACAUUCAACU